rnacentral:tRNA from 1 species
GCCUGGGGGGCUCAGUCAGUUAAGCAUCUGACUUUGGCUCAGGUCACGAUCUCACAGUUGGUGGGUUCAAGCCCCACUUCGGGCU